ensembl:lncRNA
GAUCUAUGGUCAUUCCUGCCUCUGAUUUUGUCGGUCUGUGUCGCCAGGGGAUCCACAAGAUUAUAUCUAUCCAUGUAUCCCAUAGAUACAUGGGAUAUCCGUGUAUACAUGUAUCCCAUGUAUCCCGUGCAAGAGAAAAAAUGAAAGGAACAAAAUCCAGAUGCUGGAAAAGAACUUUUUUUUCACCACAUAUAUCGCUUAAACAUUAAACUUUCCCGAAUGUUCCUUUUUGUUUGUUGAUUUUGUUUGUUUUGUUUUGUGGUUUUUUUUCUACCGAAAAGAGCAAAGAAGAUGACAAGAUAUCUGACACCAACAUGAGAACACUUAAAAGAUCGUUUAGUUCACAUGGUUAACAUGCAAACUUGAUUUUGAUUGCAGUUUCAUGAUGUGCAACAGGUGAUGUACUACCAGACAGAUAUGUCCAAGUUUGGAGAGAGAUACACGGGAGAAGAACUCACCCUGGCAAGAUAAGUUCCUUGUACUUGGAGGAAGCAAUGUAGAUCAUGUUCAUAACAACCAUUUUGGCUUGACUCAGCCAAGUGUCACUGUACAAGGAAAAGCACAGGAAAGCAUGAGUUGUUAGCUGGCAGCAUGUUACUCCAUUACACCACUUUCCAUUCAAAAGAAGUUAGACACAUACUGAGCUGCUCCAAUUACAGCAGUGCCAGAUGAGCUGGUAUCUAGGAAGCACAAGCAGACCUUUGCAUUCCCUAUGCUACACAUUAAAGAGUCUGCCAAGGAUUUGUGUGGGUUGUAGGCCUAUCAUGGUCAAACUGUGAUUCAGAAAGUUACAUGCUGCCUUUCAAUUAUUGUGCAGUUCCUUACUCUCCAUCCUAAUUUAUCACGCUAUACAUUAAACUGUGAUAGUUCCCUGUAUUUUAAUGAUUACUGAACUGAUUUCUUCAUAGAUGGUAAGUAGAGUUUGCGAUCUUAUUUGACGGAGUUGUGAAAAGUUAUUGAAUAUUUGAGCAGCUAAUUCAGUAGCAUAGCUAGAUCCUUGAUCAGCUUCAGUUACCCUCAAUACUGUGACUGAGACCAUAAGAAAAUUUUUCAGUUCUGAUCUACUGCUUGAUUGGUGAGUGGAUUUAAUCAAGUUGUCAACCUCCAAUAUGUCACUGGGAUGGGUGGUUGUUGUAACUGGCUAUACUGAGUAACUAUGAGCAUAGACAAGUAGCCAACUACUUCCCAUCUAGCUAGCAUAUUUACUAUUGGUGAGGAGUGGUUGAAGUAAACUCUUGUGAUUCAGAUGCUCCAAUGUGAUCACUAGUUAAGUCACAAAACAUCCUCUUCUACAGUUUUACUUCUACUAAAAGAAAGAAUAUGCAGAUAUUAAGGGCUGGACCACAAUUAUAAAAAAUAAAAAUAAAAAAUGUACUCCCAAAUUACUCCAUCAAAGUCCUGCCAGACAAGUUAAUGACAGUUUAAUUAAACUCAUGUUUAUUUAGGAAAAAUAUACAUGACUAUCAAUUUCAAUUGAUAAUCUCAUAAGCAAUACUUAGAACAUAUUGUAUGAAUGUGCCUCUUUAAAAUCUGUGUAAUCGCUUUGGCACCUGAUUCACCUUCCCAUGUACAAAUAUAAGCUUAAUAAUACACUACUUAUGAAUAAAAUAUAAGACAAUAUUUCUGAACUUUGCUAGCAGGCUAAAGAAUGUUCAGUCUUAAAAGCCCAAGCCUUCACUAUACUGGAAUUAAUGCAUUAGUAUUUUCAUCUCCCUGCUUAUAGCUUCUCAAUAUAAUCAUUGAAACUUGCCCCUUGAGAGAAGGAAAAACAGUAACCUCCUGGAGCAGGAGACUGGAAAAUAAGAGAGUUUGCAUGAUCUUGUAAUUAAAUAAUUGGCUAAGAGUCAGAUAAUGAGUAUUUAGGAUCCGACACAAAAUUCCUGUGUGAUUUUUCUGAAAGCUGUUUCAAACCAAACUAUGAUACUUAGUCUAAUAGUAGUGAGUUAGAACAUGUUCCCACAUGACUUAAUUUGAAUUACUUGUUGAGUAAAGCAUCAUACCUCUUUCUGAAUGUGGCAGAAAUCUGACUUUCACCAUCCUCUCUGCUUGUAUUUAAUUCAACAGAAAGGUAAUACAAAUAUUAACCUGCUUUAAAAAAGUGUUCUUCUAUUUACUGCCUCACUUACACUGUUCAGAUAUUUCAGUGAUGGUGUUAAUAGUCUUGGUUCAGAAAAGUAUAUAAACAUGUUUUUGGCCUUAAACACAAACACUACCAUUAAAAUUUACGGCUUACUGAAAUAUAAAACGAUUAAAUCAUGGACAACCCUAUGUGAAAUCUGAUUGCUACAUUUAGCACCUCUGAACUAUGGAGCUCUGGAAAUACCUACAGCAGUGCUGGAAGAGUAACAGUCUUGGCCCCACUUCUAGUGGAAAUACUUUCAAUAUAAGACCAUUUAGACUCGAUGACUGAUGAAGAAUCCCCUUCAAAUAUUAUUCAUGAUACAGAAAGUCUUACCUGAAUAAGCCUCUAAAUAUGAAAAUAAAGGUUAUGGAUUCUGUUUAAAGACUAUCUAUUUAAUGUCUAAUGUAUUCUAAUGUCAUCAUCAUUUUACAACUGUAUCUUCAUGCACUGAUUAUGAAAUGCAUAAGGCAGUGAUUGCAGGGUACCUCAUAUAUUCAACUCAUCAUUGUUUUAUCACUGUUCAGAGCUACUACAUAUUAUUCAAGAACUGUAAUGGAUAUCCUUUAUAAGCAAGUUUUUAAAAUAUUCUUUACUCCUAAACUAGCAUUAGAUUUCUACCCACUUUCUGCUGAUAUUCAAAAACUGUAUCAGAACCUUGAUAUUUAAACUUAUGAAUUUGCCCAUUCUUUUGGCCAACUUACUAGUUAACAGCUCUUAUUUUUAAAAGAAUUCCAAUUUUGUGAAACUAAAAUAUGAUAGGUAACUCAAGAUGAUAUAACAGAAAACAUCUUGUAUUUUGUAUUUCAAAAAUCUCUUCCCGCAUGAAAAAGAAUAAAAGAAUGAGUAUUCUGAAUAAGAAAUGUGUCAGCUUUUCUAGAGUUAUAUUAUCAGCAGUACACAUGGAUUUAUAGAGUUUUGAACUUCAAUAAAGUAUUCUACCAGUCAAAAUACAAUUUGGUACAUAAUUAAUGUGGCAUAAUAUGACAUAGCCACGGGCAGCUUCAUACUAGAGUUCAAAAACAAUUUGCUUGUUAAAUUAGCUAAUAAUAUUUGCAGCAGUAUCUGAUUAAUUAGUCUUCCAAUUUAUUAGUGAUACUCAGAAGGAAAAUAAGGACUAAAGGCUGUUGAUUAUAAAAAGUAUACCUUCAAAUUAGCUUCCAGUUAAUUAUGUAGAGAUAUUAUGUAUCUACUAGUAUUCGAUAUCACCAUAUCACCACAAUGUUGUUAAUGCAGAAUUCAUGACUUUAUUCUUCCACCAUCAACUCUGUAUCAAUUAGCUCACAUCUGUCUGAUAUGCAAGACAACUGUUCUCUACUGAGUGGUCAAUUGCAAUUGAACACCUUUGUUUGAUGCAUGGAUUCAAACUGUCUCUCUUAAGUUUUUCUCAGUAAAUUAGAGAAGCUUCAUUGUACAUAAUUCUGAAUUUUGAUUUCUCAUCUUCCCCACAAAAAAAUUCUGCUGGAAUAUGCAUGUUGCUGGUCAGUGACUGUCUGUAAGUAAGAGAUGAAAAAUACUUCUUUUAAAUGGGAAUGGAGAGUAUUAACAUAACUUUGAAUUGAUGCCCUGACAGGGCAUUAUGACGCAGUGUCACAAUGUUGUCACAACACUCAAAGUACGAACAUACACUGAAGUUGCCUCAUAAGGUAAAAAUCACAACGCAGUAUCAGGAUGUGAAUCUGCGGUUAUUUCUUAGCCUUCCAUGAUUUUUUUUCCUCUAUUCAGUGGAAGUACUUGUUUUCCUCUUUCACUGAUUCUCUAUAGCUGCUAAGAGAGCUGAUUCACUCUCCUUCCUAUAUAACUAGCUUGCAAUCCUAGCCAUGACAUUCCCAUGAAAAGCAGCCUCUGAUCCAGCUCACCAGAACACAUACAGAAAUUUAAAAUUCCCUGAGCUCCAAGUUUACCUAGAAAAUGUGUACUUCAAAACAAUACAUGUAACCAAAUCCUGUAAAUAAUGCAGUAAUGCUACCUAAUGUUUCACACCUGUUUGGCUCUUCCUUGUUUCCCUUUCCUGGAUUUUAAGAUAACAGUAAAAGGACCUUGUAUUUCUUUCCAAAUACCAAGGUUAAAAGUUGGUCUACAGUUCUUAGAAUUCAAAUAUGCUUCUCUGAAAAAGAAGUGAUCAAAUAUAUAUUAGAGCUUUAUUAUUUAUCAGAGAACUUAACUAUUUAAGGAAACAAACUUUUUUGAAAAGGAGUUGGAUCUCAGGCAUUCAGGACCACAUUCAAAAGAUUUCCCCAGAAAAAAAAUGACAAAUUAUCAACUUGGUAAUGGCAUGUACUUUUUGUCCUAAAUUGAGGAAAAGGAUAUCUUGAAAACUUCCCUUGUGAUCCAUCACUUCCACUGGACACAUACUCUGUCUAUAUGACUACUAUAGAAGCAGCACAUGAAACAGAAAUGAGCAGCCUAAAAUUGAUAGCUGACUGGCACAAUCAAGG